CAGUAGCCGCGGUAAUACGGAGGGUGCAAGCGUUAAUCGGAAUUACUGGGCGUAAAGCGCACGCAGGCGGUUUGUUAAGUCAGAUGUGAAAUCCCCGAGCUUAACUUGGGAACUGCAUUUGAAACUGGCAAGCUAGAGUCUUGUAGAGGGGGGUAGAAUUCCAGGUGUAGCGGUGAAAUGCGUAGAGAUCUGGAGGAAUACCGGUGGCGAAGGCGGCCCCCUGGACAAAGACUGACGCUCAGGUGCGAAAGCGUGGGGAGCAAACAGGAUUAGAGACCCCUGUAGUCCCUGUCUCUUAUAC
rnacentral:rRNA from 1 species